rnacentral:rRNA from 1 species
CAUGCAAGUCGAACGGCAGCACGGGAGCAAUCCUGGUGGCGAGUGGCGAACGGGUGAGUAAUAUAUCGGAACGUGCCCAGUUGUGGGGGAUAGCCCGGCGAAAGCCGGAUUAAUACCGCAUACGACCUACGGGUGAAAGCGGGGGAUCGCAAGACCUCGCGCAAUUGGAGCGGCCGAUAUCAGAUUAGCUAGUUGGUGGGGUAAAAGCUCACCAAGGCGACGAUCUGUAGCUGGUCUGAGAGGACGACCAGCCACACUGGGACUGAGACACGGCCCAGACUCCUACGGGAGGCAGCAGUGGGGAAUUUUGGACAAUGGGCGCAAGCCUGAUCCAGCCAUGCCGCGUGUGGGAAGAAGGCCUUCGGGUUGUAAACCACUUUUGUCAGGGAAGAAACGGUCCUUACUAAUAUUAGGGGCUAAUGACGGUACCUGAAGAAUAAGCACCGGCUAACUACGUGCCAGCAGCCGCGGUAAUACGUAGGGUGCAAGCGUUAAUCGGAAUUACUGGGCGUAAAGCGUGCGCAGGCGGCUAUGCAAGACAGAUGUGAAAUCCCCGGGCUCAACCUGGGAACUGCAUUUGUGACUGCAUGGCUAGAGUACGGUAGAGGGGGAUGGAAUUCCGCGUGUAGCAGUGAAAUGCGUAGAUAUGCGGAGGAACACCGAUGGCGAAAGCAAUCCCCUGGACCUGUACUGACGCUCA